rnacentral:rRNA from 1 species
UACGUAGGGUGCAAGCGUUGCCCGGAAUUACUGGGCGUAAAGGGCGCGUAGGCGGCCAUCUAAGUCAGACGUGAAAUCCCUCGGCUCAACCGAAGAACUGCGUCUGAUACUGGAAGGCUUGAAUCCGGGAGAGGGAUGUGGAAUUCCAGGUGUAGCGGUGAAAUGCGUAGAUAUCUGGAGGAACACCGGUGGCGAAGGCGGCAUCCUGGACCGGUAUUGACGCUGAGGCGCGAAAGCUAGGGGAGCAAACGGG